UGGGGAAUUUGGACAAUGGGCGAAAGCCUGAUCCAGCAAUGCCGCGUGUGUGAAGAAGGCCUUCGGGUUGUAAAGCACUUUUGUCCGGAAAGAAAUCCUUGGCUCUAAUACAGUCGGGGGAUGACGGUACCGGAAGAAUAAGCACCGGCUAACUACGUGCCAGCAGCCGCGGUAAUACGUAGGGUGCAAGCGUUAAUCGGAAUUACUGGGCGUAAAGCGUGCGCAGGCGGUUUGCUAAGACCGAUGUGAAAUCCCCGGGCUCAACCUGGGAACUGCAUUGGUGACUGGCAGGCUAGAGUAUGGCAGAGGGGGGUAGAAUUCCACGUGUAGCAGUGAAAUGCGUAGAGAUGUGGAGGAAUACCGAUGGCGAAGGCAGCCCCCUGGGCCAAUACUGACGCUCAUGCACGAAAGCGUGGGGAGCAAACAGGAUUAGAUACCCUGGUAGUCCACGCCCUAAAACGAUGU
rnacentral:rRNA from 1 species